GACUUGGCCCUCUAUGGAGGAGGCAUGCUCAAAUGGAACUCGGUGCUCGGAACUUGGAGUCUGGAGAAGAGGCUCCUUGGAGCUGGGAUACGGACCCUGCAGGAGGCAGUGCCAGGGGCUGGGGCUGGAUUUCACAGAGGGCUCAAUGUGCUUGGUUCUGGGUGUGGGACAACCACAAACUAGAGCCACCUGCACUGCUGAAACCAGUUGCCGCUGCAGGGGCAUGAAGAAAUGUUGCUGGGCCAACACUGAUAGGCACGGGAAGCAAACAAAGGAGAAAGUCUCCAUCUUCCUCCAACCCUCACACUCCCUGUGGCAUCCCUGACAGGCAGAGCCUAACCAGAAGCCAGCUGGAAAAGGAGAACAUUGUGUGCAGAGGCUCAGCCCCAGUAUCAGAAGUAGACUGUGGAGGAGGGGAGAAAUGGGGCCGAGAGCAGUGGCUCAGUCACCAGCGAGCCACCAGGUACCAGGCUCUGACAAAUAAAAAGAAUUUCAUCAUCUUUACUAUAUCCAUCAAAAACAUCCUCAAGAAUAAAUAGGAAACAAAGACAUUUUCAGAUGAAUCUAAAUGGAGAUAAUUCAUAACCAGUAGACUGAACUACAGGGAGUCCUCAAGGGCAGAAGGAAAUGAUACCAGUUGGUCAUGUAGGAAGGAAUAAAGAGUAAUAAAAAUAAUGGUCUGGAACCCAACCUGAAAUAUCUCUAAGGACACAGCUAAGCUCAAGUCAUACAUUUCAACAAAACUUAACAGUUUGAUGGAAACAACUUCAACAUACAGAAAAAAAUCUCAGUCCCUAAGCCACCAAAAGACACGGCUCCCAAACGGAGGUCAGCCCUCUCCUUGGCUUCCUGCUGCCACCUGUUGCAGGCCUCAGUGGUGAUCACCCCAUGCAAAGAGACAUGCUCAUGGUCAUGCCCUGUGUCCAGAUUCAGGCCUCCAACAUCCUUUGGGUCCCGCCAGGAAGGACGGGGUAGUGGAGUCAGCAUGUCAACUGGAGAGCAGGAAUGGAGCACAGCUUCGUAGUAGAAGAGACAGAAAAUUGAGAUCCUCCAAGGGAAACUGAAGAUGAAAGGGCUACAGGAAUCGCGUACUGGUGGAAAAGGGAGAGAGCAGGAAAGAAAACAAGCAAACAAACUAAACCAAAGAAACAAAAGACCAAACUGUGGCCAGAAUGGACAAUGGACCUGUGGGAUGUAGAAGGAGAUGGAGUGAAGAUAUAUUUCAAUUUGCUUGGAAUGAAAGCAGGGUACAGAAGACACAAAAAGAGUGACUGGUGCCAUUCUGGAUAUGGAGACUCGAUAAGCCAGAGUCCUUGAGUGAGGACAACAUAUGGCAGAGCCCCCUUCCCUCCUAACCAAUGUGGGAUGGACGCAUGUGGCACAGGUGAGUUAGAAGCCGGAUUGUUUUAAGCCGCUAAGGUUUUAGGGUUGUUUGUCGCUACAGCAUAACUUAGCCUAUCCUGACUGAUACCUAGAAAAAAAAGGUUCAUUUGAGAAAUACUGAAGUCUGACCUCAAGGGGAUAAAGAGUAAUCAAAUUGUAGCUCAGGGGGGCUAGAGAGUGGGUGUGUAGUAAGGAAGUGUAAGUAGCAAGUGUUAAAUUCCUCUCAAGGUUGCUUAGGGGCUAGCAGAAUGCAGUUCGGCCAGUUAGUUAAAUAACUGCUCUUUGGGGAAAUCUAGGAAUAAUUCUAGAACACUUUUAAAAUAAACCUAGAAACAUUAAUUGCAUAAAUAAUGACAAAACCCAAGACACACACUGUAGAAUUCUUUAUAUAUAUACGUUAAGAUAACAGCAGCUUUUAUGCAUCUCAAAGCUUAAUGAAGAUCUAAGAAUAUCACCCAAUAAAUUCCUCUGUUUAUUUCUAGGAAAAAAAAUUUGUUUUUCUGGAUGAAAUACAUUUCCUUUUAUUAGUUAAUGAGAAUAAUGUCAACAUCCCUACAAAACCCUUGUUCCUGCUCUCUUCUUAUCUUUACUUCCAGGGGUUUGAAAGAUUAUCCUUUACCUUGAUGGUUUGGCACCGUCUCUGCUCUCAGGGACUAGCUCGUGGAACAGAGGAGCUUUAGGCCUGGGGCUGUGUUGGAAGAUCUGGAGGACCUAGACAACUCAGGGGGGUGAAUGCAGUAAAGGAUCUUAUUGAUUAUGGCCAAGACAACCUGGUACAGUCCAUAAUUGGAAAAGACCCAUCAGAAAUUCUACAGGAGCAACAGAAUAGAGGAAGGGAGUGUGUGUGUGCAUAUGUGAGUGCAUGUGUAACUAUUUUACUGAUGGUUCUUUUACGACUAGUAAAAUCCAGCACUAUCAUGAGAAUCAUUCAGCUGUUAAAUAGUCCAAAAGUAGAAAACAAUGUUGGUAAGACCCUGGUUCCCAGCAGAUAAGACCAGAACUGUCUACUACACAGGAUGAGAGUUUUUGAAACCGCAAGUCACAUACCUUUAGGGGAUUGUGAAAUUGAUUUAGAGCAUCUUGAUCAAGUUUUUUAAAAAUAAGAUAAAAUGGAAUAGGAAAAUCAACAUGCAU